rnacentral:rRNA from 1 species
GGUUAAGCGACUAAGCGUACACGGUGGAUGCCCUGGCAGUCAGAGGCGAUGAAGGACGUGCUAAUCUGCGAUAAGCGUCGGUAAGGUGAUAUGAACCGUUAUAACCGGCGAUUUCCGAAUGGGGAAACCCAGUGUGUUUCGACACACUAUCAUUAACUGAAUCCAUAGGUUAAUGAGGCGAACCGGGGGAACUGAAACAUCUAAGUACCCCGAGGAAAAGAAAUCAACCGAGAUUCCCCCAGUAGCGGCGAGCGAACGGGGAGGAGCCCAGAGCCUGAAUCAGUGUGUGUGUUAGUGGAAGCGUCUGGAAAGGCGCGCGAUACAGGGUGACAGCCCCGUACACAAAAAUGCACAUGCUGUGAGCUCGAUGAGUAGGGCGGGACACGUGGUAUCCUGUCUGAAUAUGGGGGGACCAUCCUCCAAGGCUAAAUACUCCUGACUGACCGAUAGUGAACCAGUACCGUGAGGGAAAGGCGAAAAGAACCCCGGCGAGGGGAGUGAAAAAGAACCUGAAACCGUGUACGUACAAGCAGUGGGAGCACGCUUAGGCGUGUGACUGCGUACCUUUUGUAUAAUGGGUCAGCGACUUAUAUUCUGUAGCAAGGUUAACCGAAUAGGGGAGCCGAAGGGAAACCGAGUCUUAACUGGGCGUUAAGUUGCAGGAUAUAGACCCGAAACCCGGUGAUCUAGCCAUGGGCAGGUUGAAGGUUGGGUAACACUAACUGGAGGACCGAACCGACUAAUGUUGAAAAAUUAGCGGAUGACUUGUGGCUGGGGGUGAAAGGCCAAUCAAACCGGGAGAUAGCUGGUUCUCCCCGAAAGCUAUUUAGGUAGCGCCUCGUGAAUUCAUCUCCGGGGGUAGAGCACUGUUUCGGCAAGGGGGUCAUCCCGACUUACCAACCCGAUGCAAACUGCGAAUACCGGAGAAUGUUAUCACGGGAGACACACGGCGGGUGCUAACGUCCGUCGUGAAGAGGGAAACAACCCAGACCGCCAGCUAAGGUCCCAAAGUCAUGGUUAAGUGGGAAACGAUGUGGGAAGGCCCAGACAGCCAGGAUGUUGGCUUAGAAGCAGCCAUCAUUUAAAGAAAGCGUAAUAGCUCACUGGUCGAGUCGGCCUGCGCGGAAGAUGUAACGGGGCUAAACCAUGCACCGAAGCUGCGGCAGCGACGCUGAUGCGUUGUUGGGUAGGGGAGCGUUCUGUAAGCCUGCGAAGGUGUGCUGUGAGGCAUGCUGGAGGUAUCAGAAGUGCGAAUGCUGACAUAAGUAACGAUAAAGCGGGUGAAAAGCCCGCUCGCCGGAAGACCAAGGGUUCCUGUCCAACGUUAAUCGGGGCAGGGUGAGUCGACCCCUAAGGCGAGGCCGAAAGGCGUAGUCGAUGGGAAACAGGUUAAUAUUCCUGUACUUGGUGUUACUGCGAAGGGGGGACGGAGAAGGCUAUGUUGGCCGGGCGACGGUUGUCCCGGUUUAAGCGUGUAGGCUGGUUUUCCAGGCAAAUCCGGAAAAUCAAGGCUGAGGCGUGAUGACGAGGCACUACGGUGCUGAAGCAACAAAUGCCCUGCUUCCAGGAAAAGCCUCUAAGCAUCAGGUAACAUCAAAUCGUACCCCAAACCGACACAGGUGGUCAGGUAGAGAAUACCAAGGCGCUUGAGAGAACUCGGGUGAAGGAACUAGGCAAAAUGGUGCCGUAACUUCGGGAGAAGGCACGCUGAUAUGUAGGUGAAGUCCCUCGCGGAUGGAGCUGAAAUCAGUCGAAGAUACCAGCUGGCUGCAACUGUUUAUUAAAAACACAGCACUGUGCAAACACGAAAGUGGACGUAUACGGUGUGACGCCUGCCCGGUGCCGGAAGGUUAAUUGAUGGGGUUAGCGCAAGCGAAGCUCUUGAUCGAAGCCCCGGUAAACGGCGGCCGUAACUAUAACGGUCCUAAGGUAGCGAAAUUCCUUGUCGGGUAAGUUCCGACCUGCACGAAUGGCGUAAUGAUGGCCAGGCUGUCUCCACCCGAGACUCAGUGAAAUUGAACUCGCUGUGAAGAUGCAGUGUACCCGCGGCAAGACGGAAAGACCCCGUGAACCUUUACUAUAGCUUGACACUGAACAUUGAGCCUUGAUGUGUAGGAUAGGUGGGAGGCUUUGAAGUGUGGACGCCAGUCUGCAUGGAGCCGACCUUGAAAUACCACCCUUUAAUGUUUGAUGUUCUAACGUUGACCCGUAAUCCGGGUUGCGGACAGUGUCUGGUGGGUAGUUUGACUGGGGCGGUCUCCUCCUAAAGAGUAACGGAGGAGCACGAAGGUUGGCUAAUCCUGGUCGGACAUCAGGAGGUUAGUGCAAUGGCAUAAGCCAGCUUGACUGCGAGCGUGACGGCGCGAGCAGGUGCGAAAGCAGGUCAUAGUGAUCCGGUGGUUCUGAAUGGAAGGGCCAUCGCUCAACGGAUAAAAGGUACUCCGGGGAUAACAGGCUGAUACCGCCCAAGAGUUCAUAUCGACGGCGGUGUUUGGCACCUCGAUGUCGGCUCAUCACAUCCUGGGGCUGAAGUAGGUCCCAAGGGUAUGGCUGUUCGCCAUUUAAAGUGGUACGCGAGCUGGGUUUAGAACGUCGUGAGACAGUUCGGUCCCUAUCUGCCGUGGGCGCUGGAGAACUGAGGGGGGCUGCUCCUAGUACGAGAGGACCGGAGUGGACGCAUCACUGGUGUUCGGGUUGUCAUGCCAAUGGCACUGCCCGGUAGCUAAAUGCGGAAGAGAUAAGUGCUGAAAGCAUCUAAGCACGAAACUUGCCCCGAGAUGAGUUCUCCCUGACUCCUUGAGAGUCCUGAAGGAACGUUGAAGACGACGACGUUGAUAGGCCGGAUGUGUAAGCGCAGCGAUGCGUUGAGCUAACCGGUACUAAUGAACCGUGAGGCUUAACCUUACAACGCCGAAGGUGUUUUG